rnacentral:rRNA from 2 species
AUGAACGCUGGCGGCGUGCCUAACACAUGCAAGUCGAACGAAGCUUGACGGAUGAUUUCUUCGGAAUGAAACCAGAUAUGACUUAGUGGCGGACGGGUGAGUAACACGUGAGCAACCUGCCUUUCAGAGGGGGAUAACGGCUGGAAACGGUCGCUAAUACCGCAUGAUGUGUUCGGAUGGCAUCAUCUGAACAUCAAAGAUUUAUCGCUGAAAGAUGGGCUCGCGUCUGAUUAGAUAGUUGGUGGGGUAACGGCCUACCAAGUCUACGAUCAGUAGCCGGACUGAGAGGUUGAACGGCCACAUUGGGACUGAGAUACGGCCCAGACUCCUACGGGAGGCAGCAGUGGGGAAUAUUGCACAAUGGGGGAGACCAUGAUGCAGCAACGCCGCGUGAAGGAUGACGGUUUUCGGAUUGUAAACUUCUUUUCUUAGUGACGAAGACAGUGACGGUAGCUAAGGAAUGAGCAUCGGCUAACUACGCGCCAGCAGCCGCGGUAAUACGUAGGAUGCAAGCGUUAUCCGGAUUUACUGGGUGUAAAGGGAGCGCAGGCGGGACUGCAAGUUGGAUGUGAAAUACCGUGGCUUAACCACGGAACUGCAUCCAAAACUGUAGUUCUUGAGUGAAGUAGAGGCAAGCGGAAUUCCGAGUGUAGCGGUGAAAUGCGUAGAUAUUCGGAGGAACACCAGUGGCGAAGGCGGCUUGCUGGGCUUUAACUGACGCUGAGGCUCGAAAGUGUGGGGAGCAAACAGGAUUAGAUACCCUGGUAGUCCACACUGUAAACGAUGAUAGCUAGGUGUGGGGGGUCUGACCCCUUCCGUGCCGGAGUUAACGCAAUAAGCUAUCCACCUGGGGAGUACGACCACAAGGUUGCAACUCAAAGGAAUUGACGGA